rnacentral:rRNA from 1 species
GUCUACAACCAUGCCACCCUGAACAAGCCCGAUCCCGUCUGAUCUUGGAAGCUAAGCAGGGUCGGGCCUGGUUAGUACUUGGACCCCCGAACGCCUAGGAAGACUAGGUGCUGUAGGCA